AAGGAUUUAAGUUAAUUUAAACUAAUUACCUUCAAAGUAAUCAAUAAAAUUGUUUUUAAGCCUUA
rnacentral:tRNA from 1 species